rnacentral:rRNA from 1 species
GAUCAUGGCUCAGGAUGAACGCUAGCUACAGGUUUAACACAUGCAAGUCGAGGGGCAGCAUGAACUUAGCUUGCUAAGUUUGAUGGCGACCGGCGCACGGGUGAGUAACACGUACCCAACCUGCCGAUGACUCGGGGAUAGCCUUUCGAAAGAAAGAUUAAUACCCGAUGGCAUAGUUCUUCCGCAUGGUAGAACUAUUAAAGAAUUUCGGUCAUCGAUGGGGGUGCGUUCCAUUAGGUUGUUGG